UUGAUAGGAGCAUUUUAAUGUGGUACAUUUGAGUAAAUGAUGGUGAAAUGAGCAUUAGGUCCACACUUACCUACAAAUGGUGGAGAAAAAUGGAAAUGUACUAAAAUGUCAAUUUUACACAUUUUCCUACUCCGGCUAGGAGAAACCAAGCCAAGCAAGGAAGAAGGAGCGGCUGCCUGACCAAAUGAACUUCAAAUGAGCUGAAACUCUGCAGAUCUAUUCUAGACAUCCUAAGAAACAUUUCUUAUGAAGAGUGCAAGGGCCAAACAGAAGUGUAAGGCCUUCAAACAGUCAGCCCAAUUUUCAGCAGAGGCAAAACUAGAAAACUGGACCUGUAAGGAGUCCAGCAGAGAUUCUGGCCCAAAUACAUGGAAAUAAAUUCUGAAAAUUUGACAGAAUGAUAUACACUCAUGGUAGAUCAUUUCAUCUGAAGAAGUCACGGACAGAAUCUAAACUUUCGGUGGAGAUAAAAUUGCAGUAAAAAUGAGCAGAAAAUCCACCACCACCAUCACCUAAAAACAUUCCAUGUUUUAGGGUGUAAUCAUCAUGUUUUCUCCAUCAUUACUCACACUAAUCCACCAUCAUCAUCACCCAAAAAUAUUCCAUGUUUUAGGGUGUAAUCAUCAUGUUUUCUCCAUCAUUACUCACACUAAUUUACUCCAUCUUUUUCAAUUUCACUCUUCUUUCUCUUCCCUAUAUAAACACAUUCUCCUCUCACUCUCAAAAACACAUUUCUUCAUCCAUUCCAUCUUCUUUAUCUCUCCAUUUCCUCUCCAUAUUUCUUUCCAUUCUCUAGUUUUCUUGUUCUUCAUUUUCAAGCCAAGAGAAAGAGAAACCAUGCAAUACAUCAAUUUCCUAACCGCCAUCCACCCUUGUGUCGUCCCUAGAAGAUUGCUUGCUUUCAAGGAUCUUCAAGUUCUUCGUCUCAAGGCUUUAUCAUUCAUCUUUCAAGGUGUAUUAUAUCCUUUCUCUUGUUUUCUUUGUUUGAUUUUGUAAGACCAUGAAUUCUAGUUAACAAAUAAUGUUAAGGGCAAAGUUUAAAGCCCGUUUAUAUGUUUUGAAAUAAAGUUGUAAUUUCUUUGUGUUGAUUUCUAUGUUGCUUAUGUGAGAUUGUUCGAUUGAAUUUGAUUGAUAGAAAACUUUUAUAUGUUUAUCUUAUUUGGGUCGACACUUAUAGGAUUUGCAUGUAAUUGGUGCUAGAUUUAGGUAAACGAUUCACCUAAUAGUUUUGUGAACCUAAAUCACAAGUAGUAAAGGCUUUGGACAAAUGUCGAAUUCAAUUGAAGAGGAUUGCAAAUAGGUGAACUUUUUCAUAACUAGGUUGUGCACUUAAGUUGAUAACCUUUCUCUAUGCUUCUUGCAUUGAACAUGUUUUGAUUAGCUAGCUUUCUAGACUAUGAUUGCAUGUUUAAUAGGAUUGAUCUAGGUGCUUUCACUUAGGUUAAUUAGUAAAGGAAAGUAAAAUAUGGGAAAUCAUUUGCUUCAAAUGUUUCACAUGAUCGACUUCUUUCUCAUGACAUUGAAAAUCAACUAUAGGAAUUGUAAUUGGAUUUCUUGCUUAUGGAUGUGGUUUUGAUCUUUGUUCCUUGCGUUCCACCCCUGUAUAUAUGUUUUUACAUUUUCUUUAUUUUAUUUAUUUUAAUUUUCAAUUCUAUAAUUCUUAAACCCCCCCUUUUAUUUCGUUACUUGUAUAUAUUUCUAUUCUUUAUUUUAUUUUUGUAAAUAAUACUUCAUUAUUUUAAUUCUUUAUUUGUUUAUACAAUUGUAUAUAUUUAUAUUCUUUAUUUUAUUUUUGUAAAUAAUACUUUUCUUUAUUUGUUUCACAAUUACAAGUGUACCCUCAAUCCCCGGAUAGAACGAUCCCUAUUUACCAUAUACUAACGAUGACAUUUUACAGGGUUAAAUUGCGCGCUCAUUUUGAGCGCGUCAGAAUUAAUUGCUAAUUAAUUCCGGCUCAUAUCAAUAUGCCGCCGCACGCACGAAGGAGGAAAAAAACCGACGGUGAGUGUGCUCUCUCCCGGCCGAAUGUAGCUGGCUUUUCCGCCGCUGCGUUUCUGCCCGGGAGAGGAUGGUGUUUCUGAGUAGUGGAGGGGUCUCAAGGCAGCGGCGUGGCUCUGGGAGGGUGGAUGGGUCGUCGUUUCCGGUUUGGGUGGAUCGUUUUCGAUUUGUCUCUAUCGGAUCGAGGGAACGACAUCGGAGGUGCAGCGACGAAACUUGGAGUUCCGGCGGUGGUUUCUAAUGUCAUCGACCUGCUUUUUGGGCUGUGGCUGAUCAAAUCUGAACGAGGAGUUACCGAUCCCGAAAGGGCUCUGUCGCGGUCUCGGCUUUAGACCUGUUUGAGGUCGUCCGCUUGAUGCAGGGGCUGUUUGCGGGGUGUCAGGGCGAUGCAGCGGCGGAGGAAUUCGGCGAGGUGCAGUUUUGACGCAUGGAGACAGAGUGGUGGCUUUGGGGCUCGCUGGUAGCAGGAGGGUUUGCCUGCCGCGCUUUCCCUUUGCUGGGGGUGGUAGUCUUUGGGCUGGACCUAUGUUCUUGAGCCUCUCUGGUGUUGUUUUGUGUACUGUUGUUUAGUUAUUUGCUGUUUGGUUUUGUUGGUUUUUAGUUGGGAAUAAGUCCCUCCUCUUGUGAGCGAGGGUUUAGGUGUUUCUGGGUAGUCAAUGCCAUUGUUUGGUGUCUUGGUCGUUUUGGUGGGUCUGGUCUUUUGGCGGUGCUUUCUGGUUAUCAGCGUGAUGGUGAAUCACUCUUACACGUGGCCUGGCUGUUUUGGGACGCGGCGUCCAAAUGGGUGGAAACAGUUCAUCUUAAUGUUGGUGGCGGGGUUGUAUCGUUAUACAUAGGUCUGGUUAUAGGUUAAUUUGGGUGGGGUUGAGUUUUUUUAGCUCAUGUAAGUCCCUCUCGUUGAAAGUCUGAAACUUU